rnacentral:rRNA from 1 species
AAUCAACGCUGGCGGCGUGCCUCAGACAUGCAAGUCGAACGAUGAAGCCUAGCUUGCUAGGCGGAUUAGUGGCGCACGGGUGAGUAACACGUAGGUAAUGUACCUUUGAGUGGGGAAUAACUUAGGGAAACUUAAGCUAAUACCGCAUAAUGCAGCGGCUCGACAUCGAGACAGUUGUUAAAGGAGUAAUUCGCUUAAAGAGCAGCCUGCGGCAGAUUAGCUAGUUGGUAAGGUAAUGGCUUACCAAGGCUACGAUCUGUAACCGACCUGAGAGGGUGGUCGGUCACACUGACACUGAAUAACGGGUCAGACUCCUACGGGAGGCAGCAGUCGGGAAUUUUGGGCAAUGGGCGAAAGCCUGACCCAGCAACGCCGCGUGAAGGAUGAAGUAUUUCGGUAUGUAAACUUCGUAAGAAUAGGAAGAAUAAAUGACGGUACUAUUUGUAAGGUCCGGCUAACUACGUGCCAGCCGCCGCUGUAAGAC